UACGAAGGGGACUAGCGUUGUUCGGAAUUACUGGGCGUAAAGCGCACGUAGGCGGAUUCGUAAGUCAGGGGUGAAAUCCCGGGGCUCAACCUCGGAACUGCCUUUGAUACUGCGGAUCUCGAGUCCGAUAGAGGUGGGUGGAAUUCCUAGUGUAGAGGUGUAAUUCGUAGAUAUUAGGAAGAACACCGGUGGCGAAGGCGGCCCACUGGAUCGGUACUGACGCUGAGGUGCGAAAGCGUGGGGAGCAAACAGG
rnacentral:rRNA from 1 species